CUGUGGAGCUAAGUAUAAUUUUUGAGUAAUCCUGUGGGAAACUGUGAGUUGGACUCAAUGAUCCUUGUGAGGCUCUUCCAACUUGGAAUAUUCUAUGACUCUAUGAAGGUGGGGUGGAGGCAGUUAAUCAAGCUGACAUUUAACAGAAGGGAGCAAAGAACCAAGGCCAGAAUUAAGUGUUUCAUUCCUUAUCUAUGACAACAGGGGAGUAAGCUGUCCCUUUUCCUUAUCAAGCACAUGGGGAUACGUUUUACUGUAUCCUCUUUUGCCAAAGGUUAAUGAAAACAGAUCUGAGGAGACCGCAGUUGUCAGUAAGCUGCCUUCAGAUGCCCCACCGUACAUGCCAGCUCAGUGUGCUGCCACUAGUGCCUCACUAAGCCUACAGGAUCCUUAAGUAAGGACUCACUAAUGUGUACGGGAUCCUUAGCAUUCAAAAGGUUCAUUCUCAGACCAUCGUGAGGAUCACUCAGAAAGGGAGGAAAAAAAAAAAAAAAAAAAAAAAAAGAAAAAAAAGAAAAAAAAGAAAAAAAAGAUAACAACCGUGGUGUUUUUAAGUUGUUACGAGACACUUGGCUACCAGCUGCGAGGUUCCCCCGGCAAGGAAGCCGAAAUACCCCCUCUGCGCCUUCCCGUUCUGCUGCCCAGGGUCUGUUCGCAGCGAUGGAAAAGCUGCACGGAUAGCGGUUCGGUUCUCGAGGGUUGCUGACUGCUGCCUGUCCCUUGGCGGCCCUGGGGGCCUAUUUGCUUGCUAAUUGCUCCUCUCGCAUCGAUUGGGCGGGGGCGGGGGGCGCCGGCUGCUCUAUUUCAGGGCGGACGGCGGCGCCGGGCACCUGCCCUGUCCCGUCCCAGUCUUCUUGGACGUGCCGAUCCCUCCGCCCCUGCCCUGUUCAUCCCGCGUAGCUCCCUCACCUCUCUCCGCAGCCCCGUACAUGGCUGACGCGGGGCUCCCCGGGCCCGCUGCCUCUGCCGGUGGGGACCCCGCCGCCGACGAGUUCCGAGACAUCAUCCGCAGCCGCUCCGGGCUGCCAUUCAGCAAUUAUCAGCCCUGUGACACUACAGGCUCAAACUACAGGCAUUGUAAGUUUUCUGCUUGCCCUCCAACCAUCCCUACCUAUUGCCCAUCUACACUG
rnacentral:lncRNA from 1 species